UACGGAGGGUGCAAGCGUUAUCCGGAUUCACUGGGUUUAAAGGGUGCGUAGGUGGGUUGGUAAGUCAGUGGUGAAAUCUCCAGGCUUAACUUGGAAACUGCUAUUGAUACUAUCAAUCUUGAAUACCGUGGAGGUCAGCGGAAUAUGUCAUGUAGCGGUGAAAUGCUUAGAUAUGACAUAGAACACCAAUUGCGAAGGCAGCUGGCUACACGAAUAUUGACACUGAUGCACGAAAGCGUGGGGAUCAAACAGG
rnacentral:rRNA from 1 species